AUCUAGCUGACGAGUCCCAAAAAGAACGGAACAUUCGUCUUAGAU
rnacentral:hammerhead_ribozyme from 1 species